UCACUCACAUUAUCUCAGUCAGUAGAGCACAAGACUCUUGAUUGUGGGUUGUGGGUUCGAGCCUCACGUUGGGUGAA